rnacentral:sRNA from 1 species
AAGUUAAAGAAGCAGAAAAAGUCUAGUAAAGGUUUUGGGAUUUGUAAAGAAAAGAAAGAGUUCUUGUUAGCUAUUGAAGAUGGGCAAAAGCCCUCGGUUAUAAAAUGUUAAAAACAAGAACCUUAGUUGUUAAAGAAAUCCAAAUCCGCUAGAUGUAUCAAAGUGUUGAGAAAGCUUCUCCUAGAGUUAAGAGAAAAGAAAAGAAUGAUUAGGAAAAGGGCUUAAAAGAUUCAUGAAUGCAAAGGGUAG